UGGGGAAUCUUGGACAAUGGGGGCAACCCUGAUCCAGCCAUGCCGCGUGAGUGAUGAAGGCCUUAGGGUCGUAAAGCUCUUUCGCCUGUGAAGAUAAUGACGGUAGCAGGUAAAGAAACCCCGGCUAACUCCGUGCCAGCAGCCGCGGUAAUACGGAGGGGGUUAGCGUUGUUCGGAAUUACUGGGCGUAAAGCGCACGUAGGCGGACUGGAAAGUUGGGGUGAAAUCCCAGGGCUCAACCCUGGAACUGCCUCCAAAACUAUCAGUCUAGAGUUCGAGAGAGGUGAGUGGAAUUCCGAGUGUAGAGGUGAAAUUCGUAGAUAUUCGGAGGAACACCAGUGGCGAAGGCGGCUCACUGGCUCGAUACUGACGCUGAGGUGCGAAAGUGUGGGGAGCAAACGAGGAUUAGAUACCCUGGUAGUCCACACCGUAAACGAUGAAUGCCAGUCGUCGGAUAGCAUGCUAUUCGGUGACACACCUAACGGAUUAAGCAUUCCGCCUGGGAGUACGGUCGCAAGAUUAAAACUCAAAUGAAUU
rnacentral:rRNA from 1 species